rnacentral:rRNA from 1 species
CCCUUAGAUGUUCUGGGCCGCACACGCGCUACACUGAAGGAGGCAGCGUGUACUCCUGGAUCGAAAGAUUUGGGUAACCCGCGAAUCUCCUUCGUGCUAGGGAUUGAGGUUUGCAAUUAUCCUUCAUGAACGAGGAAUUCCCAGUAAGUGCAAGUCAUAAGCUUGCGCUGACUACGUCCCUGCCCUUUGUACACACCGCCCGUCGCUACUACCGAUUGAAUGAUUUAGUGAGGACUUCGGACUGGGACCGAUGCGGCUUUCGGGCUGCGUCGGUAUUCUAGAAAGAUGUCCAAACUGUAUCAUUUAGAGGAAGUAAAAGUCGUAACA